rnacentral:rRNA from 1 species
UACGUAGGGGGCAAGCGUUGUCCGGAAUCAUUGGGCGUAAAGAGCGUGUAGGCGGCCCGGUAAGUCCGCUGUGAAAGUCCAGGGCUCAACCCUGGGAUGCCGGUGGAUACUGUCGGGCUCGAGUCCGGAAGAGGAGUGUGGAAUUCCUGGUGUAGCGGUGAAAUGCGCAGAUAUCAGGAGGAACACCGGUGGCGAAGGCGGAUCUCUGGGCCUUGCCUGACGCUGAGGCGCGAAAGCUAGGGGAGCGAACAGG